AGUCCUGUAGUAUAAAGUAACAUAAUAUAGUAAACUGCAACUUUACCGAAGCCAUUCUGGCCAGGACCU
rnacentral:tRNA from 1 species